GUGAAUCAUCAAAUUUUUGAACGCAAAUUGCACUCCCUGGUAUUCCGGGGAGUAUGCCUGUUUGAGGGUCGUUAGAAUAAAAAAUCGAGGCGUCGCUCUUUUUUUUAAGGGUGAUCGCGUCGGACUUGAGCAGUCUUUCAAAUGUUAAUUUAUGUCAAAGUGGAUUAAAAUUCAUCCAUCCGGUACGAUUAAAGCGUAUUUAAGAUUAACUUUGAUUAUGAACGCGCGAUGACGAACCAUCACAUG
rnacentral:misc_RNA from 1 species